UACAGAGGUUCCAAGCGUUGUUCGGAUUCACUGGGCGUAAAGGGUGCGUAGGUGGUUAGGCAAGUCUGAUGUGAAAUCUCCGGGCUCAACCCGGAAAUGGCAUUGGAAACUGCAAGACUAGAGGGUUGGAGGGGGGACUGGAAUACUUGGUGUAGCAGUGAAAUGCGUAGAUAUCAAGUGGAACACCAGUGGCGAAGGC
rnacentral:rRNA from 1 species